rnacentral:tRNA from 1 species
GCGCUCGUAGCUCAAUGGACAAGAGCAACCGUCUUCUACACGGAAGGUUGCGGGUUCAACUCCUGCCGGGCGCG